rnacentral:rRNA from 1 species
UACGAAGGGGGCUAGCGUCUGUUCGGAUUUACUGGGCGUAAAGGGCGCGUAGGCGGCUUAACAAGUCACUUGUGAAAUCUCCGGGCUUAACUCGGAACGGCCAAGUGAAACUGUCAAGCUAGAGUGCAGAAGGGGCAAUCGGAAUUCUUGGUGUAGCGGUGAAAUGCGUAGAUAUCAAGAGGAACACCUGAGGUGAAGACGGGUUGCUGGGCUGACACUGACGCUGAGGCGCGAAAGCCAGGGGAGCAAACGGG